AUUAUUCAAGCUAAUCUUUGUCAUAGCUGGGUUUGAACAAUUGGAGAAAAACAAUAAUUGUGAUGUUAAUCCUCGCCACUCUUUGCAAACAAGAAAAGAGCUACUCAGACAAGUGGUUUACUUUGGAAAUUGCACCAGAUUUUGAAAGACUCCUAACAACAAUACGAAAAGACUCCUUUGAUUAACACACCAUGAUGUUUGCUCUUCUUACCUGGCUGGUUUCCAAAGAAAGGAAUAUCAUCUGUGUAUCUCCCUGAUGAUGACGGCGUACAGUUUCCAUUGCUUUCCAAUUCUUCCUUUGCAUUUUGCAACACAUUGACAAGAUCCUGUUGAUCCUCUGGGUGAAUGUAGCCAAACAUGCUGCUUCCUGUCAGUUCAACCUGAAGAAGGAAAGGGAAAAGAUGCACACUUUUAAGUGUGUCUGUCAGACACCAACCUGUGACAGUCCAAGAUGAACAGACACAGUCUCUGAAACAUAGAGGACUUUUGCAUCGCUGGAAAGAACAAACAGGAAUCCAUCCAAUGCCUAAUGAAGAAUAAAACAUGAUAAGCACAGACAAGGAAAUCUACCAAUGAAGAAAUUGAUGAAGAAAAAAAAAAGGAAUAUUCUUUGAAGAUACAAGAGGUACUAGCAACAGCUGGUGGAGAAGAAAUGGAGGAGGGUGGAGAUGGACUCUCUGUAUGAAGUUCUAGAAGGAAAAAAUAUAACACAGAACAAAGUUGUCCAAUUGAGUACAUCAAGGGGAAAAACAACCAAGUAUACUUGAAUAUGGAUAUGAAAGGGCAUAUUCUUUACCCUGAUCCUUAAUACACAAAUUACAGCUGAUAGAGUGAAAAAAUGUGGAGAACUGAAUCCUGGUCGUAUCUGCAGGCUUUUAUCAAGAAACACAGUACUGUUAUAGAAUUUUAACAGACCUUUCUCUAAAUGUAAGUCUAAAUAAACAACAGUUACCAUCAAAAUUAAGCUGGAGAAUUGUGUGUGAUUUGAUUACAAAUACCUGAUGUGGGGUUGUUAUAGCAACCAAGAAAUAAAUACAAAAUGCAAGUACAUCAGAAAAAAAAUAUAUUGAAAGAAUGGCUUUUUCAGCAUUCUACCAGAGACAUGUAUCUCUCAAGUUACAGUUAGAAUGCGAUUAAUGGGUUUCUAGUCUAAUUUGAUCAAUAAAGACCAGAUUUGGAAUAUUUGACAUUGUAUCAAUCUCUCUUUCGCAUAGAAUCUAACAGUAACUUUCCUCUACUUAAUAGAACAACCUGUGCAACAAUCACUGCUUGUAGAGAAUAAAUCAAAAUAACUUGGCCUUGGGAUAUCAAACAAAUUAAAGCAAGGAGAUGACAGUGUGUAGAAACAGAUGCUUCUCAGAGGAGCUGACCGCGUGGAAUUGACUCGAUCCAUCUAAAACUGAUCAUUAAACAAUGACUACCUCUUGAUACCAAGAAGCUAUGAAAACUCAAUUCUGAGGUUAAGGAAAAAAAGGAUAACUAUCAUUGGUAGAGAAAUCUGUUUUGGUUUGCCUCGCCUUGCCUUGGAUUACUGUGCACAAACUCAAUCUUCAGUGUCACCUAGAAACAAUGUUCCCUGUCUUUGUUCAGUAAAGUUAGAUGUUAUAUGUUACUUAUUAACAACAACAGUUGUUUGCCUCACAGGGAAAUUAGCAGCUGAAGCGCAAAUGGAUAAUCCUUUGAGGCUUUUGCUAUGGUUUCCUUCAAGGAAUAUUUGUGGAAGUGACUGUCCCAUGUUUCUUAGACAAGAGUCUUGAGACUUCAAGUCACAAGAACACUGCUUUGCUCAUACUUCCCAGUAAAUUUAAGAAAACAGAAACAAUACAGCUUGGUUUUCUGAUGUGUUCAAAAUUAUUAUAUUUGUAUCACUUUCUGUUCAGUUAACAUGAAACUAGGGUUUCAAUAACUUUUUUCAUAUGCGACUGCCUAUGGUGUAAUAUACUGCUGUGCCAUAAGGCAAAACCCAAUUACAAAAGCCAACUUGCAAGUAAAGAGACGGCGGAGAGAUCUUGUGGGCGGCGGCACACCACAGAUAACCAGCUUUUAUUGAAAUCAUUGUUGAUACCAUAAACACCAUUUUUUAUGCAUGAUUCUGCUAUGUAGAUACACAAUAUAAAAUGUAGUAAACCUUGAGGAAGCAAUACAUGUUAGCUGGCGAAUUUACAGAUAAACAAGAGGAAAUAUCAAUUUCUUUCAAUUGUAAAAAUUUUUUAUGUUAUUAUGAUAUAAGUAUGGUUGAUAUCAAGCAAGAUACAUUGUGACAUCUUUAAUUUUAUUUGUCAUGCAGACAAAACUCUUUGCGUGCUGCUUGUGUGAAAACCUGGUGGAGAUUACAAAUCUUCUAAUUUCCCGCCUAUUAAAGGAGGCUUACACAGACAAGCGACUUUGUCUGAAAGAUAUGCAUAUUACUUAACUGUCUGAAAGUGCUGCCAUAAAACUUGAAGAUACUGUUAGGCAAAACCAAGAAGCUUUUCAUGAUGGAAGGGAAUAAUUUUUUCCUCUAUGAUGCAAAAAACACCCCAUGAUUCUGUCACAACAGGAUGUAACACUGUAAAAAUGAGAAUCUAGACGCAUGUAGACUACUUCAACAAACCCACAUAAAUAAUUUCAAGCACACAGACUCCUACGGUAAUUAAAACAAAACACUUUAAUAUAACUAAUGGGUCUAUUCAAGGGACUCCUACCAUAAAAAAUGGCAAUUUUUUGGAACACAAUAUUUUUGCAUUAGUACUUAACCAAGAAUGGAUACUUCAAAUCUAGCCAGGGUUCUGUGGAAGAUAUUAUUUGAUUGAAGAAAAUAAAAAAAAGAAAAAAAAGUGGAGUUACUUGUGAUAUUCACACAAGGCAAAUAUUCCAUGUUUAACCCCCACUUAGAUUGAUUGCACUAAAAUUGGCUGCAAUGAGAUUGAUGACCACCUUUCUAACAGAUGCCGACACUGUGACUCUUAGUCUUUCCUAGAUUUAAAAAUUAUGACAGAACAACCUGUGCAACAAUCACUGCUUAUGGAGAAUAAAUCAAAAUAACUUGAUGGCCUGGGGAUAUCAAACAAAUUAAAGCAAGGAGAUGACAGCGUGUAGAAACAGAUGCUUCUCAGAGGAGCUGACCACGUGGAAUUGAUUCAAUCCAUCUACAACUGAUCAUCAAAUAAUGACUACCUCUUGAUACCAAGAAGCUAUGAAAUGUGAUAGUUACAUAGUAGACAUUAUUUCAAUUUCUAUUGGCUAAGAUUUUAGGAACUGCAAAACUUCCAUAGGUGGCGGUAAGCAUGGGAUGUUAACGGCAAUCAAGAAAUAUUUUUGCAUACACCUGAUAAUGGCAUUGUGUUCAAAACAAAUGGGAUGAUAUUGGCUCCAUGUGGUGAUCUAAACGAAGUCAAUGCUAAUUUUAAUAAUGGGCUGGAUUAAAAAAAUGACAGCUCAAUCUUUUUUUUUUUUUUUUUUCCCAAUCGAGCCUUCAAGCCCCCUACUUGUACUACAAUAUGAAAAUUUUCUAUUUUUCAUCAGACCAUAGAGCAUCCUUGAGUGGGAGUUAACCUUGCUAUACAUGACAUAUCUAGUGCGAUAACAUUAUCUAACAUACGUACAGAAGUAAAGUUUUUACAAAGCACGUGCAAAAGUUUACAAAAAUAGAAGAAUAAACUCUCAAAUCAGGUUCGUAAACAGGAACAGAACUCCACAACUAAAAAUUACACAUUGUAAAAUAUACAAAAGGAACGGGAAAAGUGCGCCAAACGAAGAUCAAAUUUAAUUGCCCUGGUUGGCACAAGGAAAACAUGAUCAACCGAAUUAUGGACAGAAACAUUAACACGACAGUUAAUCAAGGCAUAAAACGCGAGACAUUUGUUUCUCAUUGUUAGAAAAAUAAAAGAAUGAAGAAUACCGUUAA